CAAUGUUUUCAGCCGUUCUUUUCAUGUGUGGCCAGAGUGAAAACUAUCAACGUGGACGAGUUUUACAACAGCUGAUGCAUGCACUGCAGCAGAGGAAGCAGGCAGUGCAAAGAGUGAGCAGUCAGCAUGCGGCGCAGCAAGUCUUUGAUCAGGUUUAACUGGCAAGUCAUGUCUUUGACAUCUAAAGGGGAGGCUGAGAGGGUUUGAAGGGAACAACAAGAGAAAGAGAAGGAGAGAGGGAAACAGGGUGCCUCCGCUCAGGGAAACAGAAGAGGAGGGGUGGGAGGACAAGAGCAGGGAACGGUGAGGAUUCAUGCUGUGUUAGCAUCCCCUCAGCAACUCCAUCAAUACUGCAUACAGCUGAGAAACUGGCAAAGGUCCUCCGUGCUGCAUUUUCAGGUUCGGCCAGAGAAAGAGAGCGACUCCCACGACCGGUCAGCUCAGUCUGCUGCUGGAGGGGUGCGCCUUGUUGUAUACACAUACAAAACAUUCUCUGACACACUCUCUCUGGAACCUCUGCUGCAUCAAGAAGCAGAGGAGGGACAGUCGACCUGGGAAUACUACAGAGGAGAGAGUUAUCACCGGAGAGGGACAGCUAGGAAACUCUUGCUGCCAUGCCCUGCAUCGGAGGCUGAGCUGUGGGAUAGUUUGACAGGACCUCAGUGCACCUGCUCCAUGCACACUGAUUAUAUAGAAGAGCUGGUGUGUGCAAUGGCUAUCUUCGACUUGCAGGGUUUCAUGCCACCCGUUCUGCAUCACUUUCCUCUCUUUGCUGCACAGUCAGGUCCGACGAUCUGACCACACCUCUCCUUCCUCCCCCCAAUCCCUCCCUCUCGUCCUCCCCCCUUUUUUUUUGGUGUCCAUCUUUCCUGGGCCCACCAUGGGAGGAUGCUUCUCCAAACCCAAAGCAGUUGAAGUCAAAGUGGAGCUCUCUCUCCUGGAAAAAGAAAAAGAAGUGGACGGCCUGUCCCCUAAUGGCAAAGCGAGCCCCUUCGCUGACUGCAGACUGAAUGGGGCCCUGGCACACAGCUCUGACGAAGACUCCAUGCUGCUGCCGCUCAACCACAACUCCCGGGAUUAUGUGGAGGCCUCUGUGUGUCAUGUUAAAGACCUGGAAAAUGGACAAAUGCGGGAGGUCGAUCUGGGAUGUGGCAGAGCUUUGCUCAUCAAACAACACGGGGAGUUUUCCGCCAUGGCCCACAAGUGUCCGCACUACGGAGCACCACUGGUCAAAGGUGUCCUAUCUAAAGGACAUGUGCGCUGUCCCUGGCACGGCGCCUGUUUCAGCACAGCAACAGGAGACAUAGAGGACUUCCCAGGUCUGGACAGUCUGCCUACCUUCCAGGUCAGAGUUGAAAAGGACAAGGUGAUAAUUCGUGCAAACAAGCAGGCACUUCAGUCACAAAAGAGAUUGAAACCCAUGUCCCGAUGUUCGGCCGUCAUCAACUCCAACACAGGUUUCAGCCAUGUUCUCAUCAUUGGCUCAGGUCCAGCGAGCCUGGUGUGUGCAGAGACACUGAGGCAAGAAGGCUUCACAGAUCGCAUCGUCAUGUGCACCAUGGACAGACAUCCUCCGUAUGACAGGCCUAAACUGAGUAAGUCUUUAGAAAGCACAGCAGAGCAGCUGAGGUUACGCUCCAUGGACUUCCUACAGGACCAUGACAUUGAGCUGCUCACAGAAAAAGAGGUUGUAGCAGUGGAUAUUAAGACUCGAUCUGUAACGUUUGAAGACGGCUUGAGGAUGGAGUACAGGAAACUCUUUAUUGCUUCAGGAAGCAAACCAAAACCGAUGAGCUACAAGGGGAAAGACGUUAGGAAUGUUUUCCAUCUCCGGACACCUGAGGAUGCUAACAGCAUAGCGAGGCUUGCCAACAACAAGAACGCCGUGAUUGUGGGAACAUCUUUUGUUGGUAUGGAGGUGGCUGCAGCUCUGACUGACAAGGCCCACUCAGUGUCUGUCAUCGGGAUCGAGCCGGUCCCCUUCAAAACAGCUCUCGGGGAGAAAGUAGGGAAAGCCAUAAUGAAGCUGUUUGAGACAAACAGGGUGAAGUUCUACAUGCUGAACGAAGUGUCGGAGAUGAUUGGUCAACAUGGACAGCUGAAGGAAGUUGUUCUGAAGAGUGGGAAAGUCCUGCGGGCAGAUGUGUGCGUCAUCGGAGCAGGGAGUGUUCCUGCAACAGGGUUUUUGAAACAGAGCGGCAUCCACUUGGACUCAAAGGGCUUCAUCACCGUGAACAAGAUGAUGCAGACAAACGUUGACGGGGUGUUUGCUGGAGGAGACGUGGUCACGUUUCCUUUCCCACCUCGCAACAACAAGAAGGUGAACAUCCCUCACUGGCAGAUGGCUCAUGUGCACGGCAGGGUGGCAGCUCUCGGCAUGAUGGGCAGACUCUCUGAGUUCAAAACUGUGCCUUACUUCUGGUCGGCUAUGUUUGGGAAGACCAUUCGCUAUGCAGGUUAUGGUGAUGGAUUUGAUGAUGUCAUCAUACAAGGAGAUCUGGAUGAAUUACGAUUUGUUGCUUUUUAUACAAGGAGCGAGGAGGUGGUUGCUGUCGCCAGCAUGAACUAUGACCCCAUCGUAUCUCGGGUGGCAGAGGUCUUGGGAUCCGGAAAGACAAUUAAAAAGCGAGACGUGGAGUAAGUCUCCGUUUGGGAUUUUAUACUCAUUGCCGUUGGAGGUUAUAUUUUUAAAGUCUUGGAAAAAAUUUAGUGGGUGUUUGAGUUUGGGACUUAAAAAAAAAAGUUCUAAAUGUAAAACAUGAAAACAUAAUUAGCUAAUAAAAGCUGUGGUAGGUUUAGGUUUACAUUAUGAUACAAUCAAGCAUAUCGUUUAACACUAAAGUUCUUUUUUAUAAUAUUUUUUAAAGAAAUGUUUAUCGUAUCGAUAAAAUAUAAAAAAAAAUCCAGAAAGAUUUUAUACAUUCUUACAAUCAUGAAUCUCGCCUCAGUUGUUCAAUUAAUUUAAAGUUAAGAUUUAAUUUCAGUCAAGUGACUGCAUUUUAGUUUGAUCAUCAUUCAUUUUUUGCAUGAAUGAUGCCUUGGAGUUUCCUUGCAGAACUAAAUAUAUACUCAGUCCUCCAAUAAAACCCACUGAGACAAAAUUGUUACAUGUCAUUUUGUAACUUUUCAGGAUAUGUACAACCUACAGAGUUGACUGGUCAUGCAAAAGGAUGCUGGCUGCUCGUGGCUUCCCCAUCAGGCCACGGCACCCUGGGUGGUAAACCAUACAGCCAAUGUUAAAAUUGGUCCCUGAUGGCCACUGCUGGUUUAUAGCCAGGGACUGGGGUCCUGCAACUUUUAGAUAUGUUCCUGGUCCAAUAUGUCUGAAUCAAAUGGCUAAAUUACCUCCUCAGUUGUCAAGUUUUGCAGAGUCUUGCUAACGACCUCAUUAUUAGACUCAGGUGUCAGGUGCUAUGUUGCUAUUUAUAGGAGUAGCAACAGUACAUUAAUACUUUUUGCAUGUUAGUUGUAUUGAGUCAAUGCAUGCUACUGUAUUUCUAAAAGCUUGAUACAAAAACCUUUGUGUUUCAAAAAGAAAAAAUAGAUAAUGUCUUCAACAGUGACAGAUGAGAUGACAUUGUUUCUUCAUCAAAUAUGGCGGCUUAUAUGUCAGUGUUGGUCUAUAAAUGUCGCUGUCAAAAUGUCCAUUUUGUCUUGUCUUUUUGUUGUUCUACUGAUCUUCAUCUCUCUCAUGUCUUUCAAUUUUGUGUGCAAACAAAAACUGAAGGAUGUUAGCGCAGCUUGGCAAGACUGGAGACAUAUCUUGGCUGAUUGACAAAGGCUCUCACUGACUCCACCUUUGAAGUUUCCUAAAGGACAGACCCAAAGUCCACUGGAUACCCUCACAUGGACACUUUGGUGCUGAGACCCUGAGCAGCUAUCCUACUUCAUUCACAGAAACACAGUGGACACGAUUCUCUGUCUGUCGGAGGCUCACUCUCCUGAAGACGACAGUAUAACAUGUUUUGCUCCGGAGAGACACUUUAAUGUGACAAACUGAACCACACAGGGCAUGAACACACUGAAUCACUGUGUCGGCAAAUGUUUUUGUUCACAACAAAGCAAUAUUUCAGCCUUCGUGCUGCUGCAAGUUAUAUCUACCUGUACGUUUUGUUUAUAAGAAGCCAGAGAAGGGCAUGGGCAUUUGUUUUGUAUAAAUACGACUGUACAUAGUUAUAAUCCUGAUUGCACUGUAACAACAAAAGAGAAUACACUUCUGAGUGGAAAACAGAUCGACUGUGCUCUCAUACAGACCUUAGAUCUGCAUGGUAGAACUUACUGCAGUAAAAAAUAAAAUGACGAGUCCCAAACCAGAGAAUAUUAAUACAGAUGCAUUAAAAUAAACGCUUAAAUCAGCAGCAGAACAAGUCCUCUUUAGACCAGCCUUGAGCUUUAACAAGCUCAGUUAUAUGCACAUGCAUUUAACUUGCAACGAGAUAAUGUACUUCUUUGUAUAUGUUGCCUUGCUAAUAGAGUAAAUACAUUAAAUUUUAAUCAUAUUUCUAAUUAAACUAAUUAUUAGUUUGUGCUUGCACAAUAGAGUCACGUUUUUCAAAAAAAUAAACAGCAAUAGCUCAUCUAAAUGAAAACUAGCUGAAUGUUUCUUUGUGACGUUUCCAGACUCCAUAGGGACUUUAUCUGUUACUAACUCAGGGAACUGAGGUUUGUGGCCCAGGCUGACUGCUCCCUUACAGUCGCUGUUGCUUUAAUAUUCUCCCCUGUGAUCUCACUGCUUCCCCUCAUUUUCCUUUAGUGAUGCUUUGCAAUGUGCUGAGAGGUGCAGAGCAGAUGUCUGAUAGCAUACUGGUCUAAUGAGGAUCCAUGUAUACUUGAUCCUUGACGCUUAAAGUCAACGAGGCAAUUUGAAUAGCAUUGUUCUUCCUACAGAGAUGCUGGAAUGACAUUUUUAUAACUUAACUUUGAAAUAAAAAGUGAUCCAACAGUAAAGACCCACUGCUGCUGCUAUGUUUAUUUCAGUUUUAACACUUCUUUCCUGUGAACAUCCUUGAUUGGUGUUGGCUAUUUUCUGCUGUUUUAAACCCAACAUGGUAAAAAAAAAUUUGUUGUCGGUGAUGGUUCAUAAAGAGGCCCAAUCGAGUAAUUGUUCCAUACCUGCUUUUAAGUUUAUUAGAUUUUUUUUGUUCUAUUUUGUUUAAAAUAGUGCUGCAUAGUGAUGCAGUUGGUACCACUGUCGUCUUGCAGCAAGAAGGCCCUGAAUUUCAAUCCUGGUCUGAGUCCUCCCUGUGGAUGUGUGGGUUCUCUAGCGUCCUCCUGUAGUCCAGAUACAUGAAGGUUGAGCUUUCCAAAUGUUCCUUAUGUGUGUGUGUGUGUGGUUGUUUGACCGUUGCGUCUCUGUGAUGGAUUAGGACCUGACCAGGGCGUAUCAUCGCCCACUGACUGCUGGAGAAAGGCACCACGACUCUGCAAGGAUCAGUAGGUAUAGUAGACAGACAGUUUAAAUAAAUUUUCUAUAUUCUGCUCAUUGUUUACUUACAAGAGAAUAGCAUCACAUUAGCAAUAUUAUUUAUUGUGAUCGUAACAUUAGUUAUAGUAAUAUAAGCAACGUCUACCAGCAGGU